UUCUUGUUUUUUUUACGGACCUGCUAAAGAGGCUGGUAUCGAAACCAUAAACCGCAUGGCCCCUUCGAUUUUUUUCGAGAUUGGCGGCUGCAAGAAGGAGACAGGGAAGCCGAGAAGUUGAGACGGAGGACAUUUACGCAGACGAGGAGGAGCAACAUAGACGUGAGCAUAAGACUGGUCAAGACUAACUGGAUGGAAGUUUGUCAUCAUGUUUUUAACAGUCCGCCUGGGACAGUUUAGCAUAAUGUUAUGCAGAAGACGUCCCAUUAUAUCUUCGUAAUUUGUAAUUUUGAGGCACGGUUUGAUGAAUUUAUGGGAGUUCCUCGCCUCAACAAAAAGGCUGAGCUAGUUUUCAAAAGAGUCACUUCUUCGCAUUGAUUUUGAACGAGAAAGGAAGUAACCACAAAUAUGCAUAAAUUAAGUCACGCUUGUUGACCAUGGAAUGUUAGCAAAGUUUAUCGAGCUCCUGCAGCUCGGAAAGACUAGUCCCCAAAAAUGUUUUUAAAACAAUAACCCUGGUGCUAAACACGGAUAGUGAUCAGGACUCCACAUCCCGUUAUCCUUUUGUGAAAAGUUUCCUGGAACAACAGCAUGCUUGUUCAAAUUUGAAAUGAGCUGUCUGUAAGAAACAUUGAGACGUCCCACGCGAGACGUCCCACGCGAGACGUCCCACGCGAGACGUCCCACGCGAGACGUCCCACGCGAGACGUCCCACGCGAGAACGAUUAACGUAACGAGAUAUAUUGUUUUGUUUGUACAGUGCAGAAGUGAUUUUGUUGAUUGACGGACACGUGAGCCAAGUAACAUAAUCACAUGUACAUAAUAGACUUUGAUGAGUACCUUUUCGAAGCGAAGACGAGUGGUUAUGCGAAGUUACGAAGUUUAGGUUUUACGAUACGAAUUAGAUGUUGUAGUAAGUACGAAUCAAUAAAAGGAAUCAAGAAAUUA